rnacentral:pre_miRNA from 1 species
CGUUUCCUUGGCAGUGAUGUUAGUUGUUGUCGUCUCGUGUCACACAACAAACUGACAUCACUGCCUCUGUAGCGC